UUUAGGGGCUGGAGAGGACUCGAGCAGAGAGAGCUGCGUUUUCGUGAAACGGGAGUAAAGUAGUAAACUUACAGGAUCAUAUACAACUACCUACUGUUCAAUCGAUAUCUGCAUCGAUCUACCCACCGUUGUCUCUUGGAUUGUAGCUGAGAUCAGCGCGAACCACGUGUGUCUCAGCUUCCUGAUCUGUUAACUGUGUUUGGAAAGGCUUCUAGCUUAAUCACAGAGUUCUCUGUUUGUGGGCUCAUCUAAAGGAGCAGAAGAGUCUGUUGGAGCAGCAGAGGAACAAUUUCAGCCAUUUGGACUCAGCUCAGCCACUACAGAGGAAAAAAUGUCUUCAACACAAAAGGACCAGCAUGGAGCAAGAAGUCAGCACUCUCAGGAGGCCGACAAACCUCACAGAAGAAAGGGAGAGAAAACGUACAGCUGUGACUUGUGUGGAAAGUGUUUUACCCGGGCAGAAAACUUAAAAAGACACCAACUCA